AUGUUUAGCAAAACCCUCUCCUGCUGCAAUCUAAGACCACUUUCUCCUUCUGGCUUUUGUGAAAACAGAGAACAACCCUUUGGAAUUUUGUUUAUAAUAACUCUUCUUAUUUGUCCCGUGUGUUAUUUGAGUCCUGAUUUUUAUGUGUUGAAGACCUGCGUUCUGAGGUUCCCGUGGUCUCUUGUUUUCUGCGUGCUGUUUCCAGCGCUGCUGCCCUGUUCUGCUAAUGCAGGUGGUAGGACUCUCUCUGAAGCAGUCUGGAAGAUCCAUUACUGUGACAGACCUCGGGAAUUCUUUAAGAGACAGAGCCUGGGAGCUUCCUGUCCUCCUCAGCUGAGCAGGAGGGAACAGACACAGUGCUGAAGUAUCCAGUAUUUCCAGUGCCAAGCACAUAGUGGAUGCUUGCCAAAUAGUUGUUGAAUAAAUAAAUAAAUAAAUAAAUAAAUAACA
rnacentral:lncRNA from 1 species